rnacentral:rRNA from 1 species
UAGGGAAUCUUCGGCAAUGGACGGAAGUCUGACCGAGCAACGCCGCGUGAGUGAAGAAGGUUUUCGGAUCGUAAAGCUCUGUUGUAAGAGAAGAACGAGUGUGAGAGUGGAAAGUUCACACUGUGGCGGUAUCUUACCAGAAAGGGACGGCUAACUACGUGCCAGCAGCCGCGGUAAUACGUAGGUCCCGAGCGUUGUCCGGAUUUAUUGGGCGUAAAGCGAGCGCAGGCGGUUAGAUAAGUCUGAAGUUAAAGGCUGUGGCUUAACCAUAGUAGGCUUUGGAAACUGUUUAACUUGAGUGCAAGAGGGGAGAGUGGAAUUCCAUGUGUAGCGGUGAAAUGCGUAGAUAUAUGGAGGAACACCGGUGGCGAAAGCGGCUCUCUGGCUUGUAACUGACGCUGAGGCUCGAAAGCGUGGGGAGCAAACAGGAUUAGAUACCCUGGUAGUCCACGCUGUAAACGAUGAGUGCUAGGUGUUAGACCCUUUCCGGGGUUUAGUGCCGUAGCUAACGCAUUAAGCACUCCGCCUGGGGAGUACGACCGCAAGGUUG